rnacentral:lncRNA from 1 species
GGGGAACAUAAGUUUUAUGAUUACAUGGCAGAAAUAAGAGACAUGGAAAACUUCAACAAACCCUCACAUGAGAAAUCAAGGUUGAAAUUUGAGAUGCAGAUGUCAACACUCUUAUCAUUGUAAAAUGCUCGUGAUACUCCAUCUCUUUCUUGUUCUUCUCAUAGUGAAUCUUUGUUUUCAACCUAACAAUCUUGUUCUUUCCAC